AGUGAACGCUGGCGGUAGGCCUAACACAUGCAAGUCGAACGGCAGCACAGUAAGAGCUUGCUCUUACGGGUGGCGAGUGGCGGACGGGUGAGGAAUACAUCGGAAUCUACUUUUUCGUGGGGGAUAACGUAGGGAAACUUACGCUAAUACCGCAUACGACCUACGGGUGAAAGCAGGGGAUCUUCGGACCUUGCGCGAUUGAAUGAGCCGAUGUCGGAUUAGCUAGUUGGCGGGGUAAAGGCCCACCAAGGCGACGAUCCGUAGCUGGUCUGAGAGGAUGAUCAGCCACACUGGAACUGAGACACGGUCAAGACUCCUACGGGAGGCAGCAGUGGGGAAUAUUGGACAAUGGGCGCAAGCCUGAUCCAGCCAUACCGCGUGGGUGAAGAAGGCCUUCGGGUUGUAAAGCCCUUUUGUUGGGAAAGAAAAGCAGCAGGUUAAUACCCCGCUGUCCUGACGGUACCCAAAGAAUAAGCACCGGCUAACUUCGUG
rnacentral:rRNA from 1 species